rnacentral:sRNA from 1 species
UAUUGAACGCACCUUCUUUGUUGAAUUGCUUUUACCUUAUGGAGUUUUUUUUUCAUUAUGCCGAUAUAACGUUUCUUUGAGGUCUGUGCCUGUGUAACCCUGUUUAUGAGACAGGGAAGUCUGCUAGUAAAAUGAGACGGAUCUGACAAAUGACUUCAUGAUCUUGUAACUGUUGCUGAGCUGUCAAUAGAAUUUUGAAGCUGUAGUCACUUUCAAAGUGUAUUGGAUCUAUCACCUCAGAACAAUCAAACACAGGCACGCUCAUUUCCAAAGAAUGAAAGUUCCGAGAGCGACUUUUUCAUUUCGAAUGCAUUUCAACAAUGGUUUGAAAAGUAUCAGCAAUAAAAUAUACAGCACACUGGAAUCGUAA